GCUUGAACCUAAUCAUUACCUUAAUAUUCUAAGUGCCCAAUUACUACUUAAAAUAGGCUUCAGCUGCCAGACUCAGCCAUAGCACAGCCAGCUCCAUGCAGACAGGAUCUGAACAGCGAGGGAAAGGAAACACUGCAGGACUGAUGGAGCCAUAACUUCCAUUUUAUUAAAGCUUAUUUCCCUUCACUUGGAGGAGCACCCUACAGCACAGCACCAAGGUGCCAGAGGAAGCCACCAAGCAAAGGCUGUGCCCCGAGCAGCCAGGCGGGCAGUCAGAGCAGGGGCAGUUUGGUUAUGGUUCCAGAAGGGGGUGGCCAGCAGUGCUCCUGCCCAGGCACAUGGAGAGCUGUGACCACAAGGGCUUGGUCACCUACAGGGCAGGUGACAGAGAUCACUUUGAAAGCGCCUCUUGUGCUGGAUCUGACCUCAAGCAGGUCCCAGAUGCUUCAGCUUCCUGACUGGGAUCUGACUGCUUUGGCAUGAAACCAGCCAGGAAAGAUUCUCAGCAAGGGGAGAGGGCAAGAUCUUACUCCAGGAGUCUGCAGCUUUCCCUAGCCAGCAAGGCGGUUUGUGAGAGAGUCUUUGGGUGGACCAAGAAGAGCCCAUUUGUUGCAAGUGUACAGAAUAUGCUCAUGUAACCUCUCACAGUUGUACUGAGGGCUCUCCAGCACUGACAGAUGGUCACAGGGCAACAAUUCAAUUGCCUGGAAACAUGAAGGCAGCUUUCUGAGCAGCUCUGCAGCGUGUCAAAUAAAGCCCCCCAAGUCCAAGGCACCAGCACAUGUGGCAUUUCAGGCCACAGCAAAUGUCUGUGCCUUCACAGAGCCCCAGGUCUCUGAGCUGGCUGCAGGUUAAAGCAUUUAUAAUUAGAUCACAUCCAAGCAAAGGGCUGUGUGUUUACACAGCCCUUUGCACAAGAGGAAGCCUGGCUCGGGGCUGGCAUGCAGAGAUGCCCCAGAUCAGCACAAGACUCCCCUUUGUUUAGCUAAGGACAUGCCACACUAUUGCAUUUGGUUCAGGAGGUCUCAAAUGUUUACAACCAGCAUCAACUGCAGCGGUAAAUGUUUCCAUAACUCCUGUUAAACUCUGAACUUAUCCAGUUUCUCCCUGCUCUAAGGGGCGAGCAGAGGACUAGCUAGACACUCACUCUGGCAAGGCAGAGGUCAGGGUAGAGGUGAUGCUAGCUGUCUCAGGCAUUCUCUGAAUGUUUCUGCAAUUGGCCACGCUUGUGUCAUGCCUGCACAUGCCUGAGACUCAGCAGCUGUGGGAUUCCUGCUGGACAGUGUGGGACAGCUGUGCUCACACCCAGCAGCCUCCUCCCAGCACAGCUUUGGUCAAGACACAGGAUGUGUCAUAAGGUCUCAUUUGUUGGGAGAUGCUUCCAUUUAAAAGUGCCUAUUUGUCUCUUGUUUAAAGAUGCAGUAGUUCCAUGCACCUACAGAAGAAACUGCAUUUCAAAGCUGUUUGUUAUCUUGAAAGACCAUCACAACAAUCCUGAAAAUCUGUGCUUAUUUACCCCAUCCCUUUUUCAAGUGUCAUAAAGCUGAUCUUUGUUAGAGGCUGGGACUGGCAAUGCCCUUGGCUUGUUCCUUUGCUCAUUGCGUGCACGCUCCCACAACAUCCAGCUCCAAACAGAAGGAAGCAUUUCUCAUCCAGCUCCAAACAGAAGGAAGCAUUCCUCUGCCAUUCCAAAAUCAAGCAAGGAGAUGGCUGAGAACAGAGUCCCUUUAUGCAGCUCCAUUUGUUCGUAGCACUGCUUCACAUUCCUCUUUGUACAGGGCGAGUGCAGAAAGGGUGUCCCUCAGCUCCAGUGUGUCCAAGCCCUGGCUGCACAAACAGCCCAGCACCAAAAGGAAAGAAGUGCAGAAGGAGAUCUGGCAGCCUGAGCAGCCAAAGGAGGGAGCCCAGCCUGGGUGCCCCUGGCAGGGAUGAAUGACCAUGGCACUUGGGGUGCUCAGGGCAGGGGGCCCAAGAGUCCAGCAGGGCAGAGCACCCACAAAUGGCAUCUCAGCUCUACUGCUUUUCUCAUGAUGUCAUGGCAGAUCAGCUCCAACUUGCCCCAGAGCCACAGGAAUGGAGAGGGAGCAGUUUCCUUCCACUCCCAUAGCAGUUCUUCACAUCUCUGGUACAUGAAUUGCAAUACUCCUUCAUGUAAACUGGUGCACCGAGCCCAAAGCUCUCUGUGUCUCCUAAUGCUGUUCCAGGUCAGUGCUAAAUCAGGUUUCCCCAGAGACUUCAGCAAUGUUUUUCAAAGAUUUUUACAUGGCCCAAAAGCCCCCAGUGCUCAGGAUGUGGCACUGAGCCAGGAACUCCCACACUCAGCUCUGCCCUCUACCAAGUCACUUGGACUUUUUUAUUUAUGGUCAGCCCCUCUGGAGAAGGUACUAUUGCCAAAUUAAUUCACAGGCUGUUUUGAACACACACUUCCCUUAAUAUUACAUUUAACAAGUCCUAGAAGUGCAACCCAGACAGAAGCUUUGCAGGAGAUUAGGAAGCCCAAGCAUGCCCUAAUUUAUUUGUGGGACCAGCACUUUGUACCAUGCUUGCCCCUUCACUACCACACCCCACCUCAGGGAAAUUCAAGGAAAGGUACCAAAAGUAUUGGCCUGCAAAGGCAGCUGCCAAUUGAUACCUAGGCCACCAGGGUUAAGCAACAGCUUCUCUUUAGUGCAUCACUUAGCUUUAUUAUAGGAUGGCAGCUUAAAAGCCCUCAUAAUUAUCCAACAAAUCAAUCUAGACAGUGAUAUUCAUCGCAGUCCAGUAUAUUACAUUUAUUUUCCCUUCCCUUCCAGAGACUAAGCUACUGCAGUGUUUCUUUAUCAUCUUAAAAAGCAGGAAGAAAAAAAAAUCCUCCUCUCCCUGCACACAGGCCAGAGUUUUCCAGGAGUCAGUAUUGGUUUGAAAGGCUUCUCUUUGGAUGCCCUGAAUGCAAUUUGAAGCAUCCAAGGUUCCAAACAAAGUCAAUGAGAGUUGCAGGUGCUCAAUGCUGCUUUGGGAAAAAAAAAAUUAAAAAAUAGAAAGCCCUGACACAUCCAGCUCAGAGCAGCCAAACCCAGAGGCCCAUAAUUGCACAUCCCUAUUGAAAACACAUCUGUAAAAAUCACUAAGACCUACAUGGGGAGGGGUAAAAUUGGAUUUAUAUAGUCUCAAAUCAGAGUUUUAUAGGACAUUUCAAU